rnacentral:rRNA from 1 species
AGAGUUUGAUCCUGGCUCAGAACGAACUCUGGUAGCGUGGAUUAGGCAUGCAAGUCGAACGGGAUCAACCGAGUAGCAAUACCUGGUUGUGAGAGUGGCGGAUUGGGGAGGAACACGUGAACAACCUGCCCUUGAGUUCGGGAAAACCAUUGGAAACGAUGGCUAAUACCGGAUGUGGCGUCUGAGGACAUCCUCGGAACGCUAAAGGGGGCCGCAAGGCUCCCGCUCAUCGAGGGGUUCGCGCACCAUCAGCUUGUUGGCGGGGUAACGGCCCACCAAGGCCUACGGUUAGCUGGUCUGAGAGGAUGACCAGCCCCACUGGGACUGAGAUACUGCCCAGACUCCUACGGGAGGCUGCAGUCGAGGAUCAUUUGCAAUGGGCGAAAGCCUGACAAUGCGACGCUGCGUGGAGGAUGAAGGCCUUCGGGUUGUAAACUCCUGUCAUAGGGGAACAGGCGAUCUUACCUAAUACGUAAGUGAGUUGAGUGUACCCUAAGAGGAAUUGGCGGCUAACUCUGUGCCAGCAGCCGCGGUAAUACAGAGGCCAAGAGCGUUGUUCGGAUUUACUGGGCGUAAAGGGCGCGUAGGCGGUCUUGCGUGUCAAGUGUGAAAUCUCCGGGCUCAACCCGGAAAGUGCGCUUGAAACUACAGGACUCGAGUCUGGGAGAGGGAAUCGGAAUGCAGGGUGUAGCGGUGAAAUGCGUUGAUAUCCUGCAGAACACCGGAGGCGAAGGCGGAUUCCUUGAACAGUACUGACGCUGAGGCGCGAAAGCGUGGGUAGCAAACAGGAUUAGAUACCCUGGUAGUCCACGCCGUAAACGAUGAGUACUAGGUGUAGGAGGUAUCGACCCCUUCUGUGCCGGAGUUAACACAAUAAGUACUCCACCUGGGAAGUACGAUCGCAAGAUUGAAACUCAAAGGAAUUGACGGGGGCCCGCACAAGCAGUGGAGUAUGUGGUUUAAUUCGAAGCAACGCGAAGAACCUUACCAGGACUUGACAUCCUCGGAAUCCUGUAGAGAUACGGGAGUGCCUUCGGGAAUCGAGAGACAGGUGGUGCAUGGUUGUCGUCAGCUCGUGUCGUGAGAUGUUGGGUUAAGUCCCGCAACGAGCGCAACCCUUGUUGCCGGUUGCUAACAUUUAGUUGAGCACUCCGGCGAGACUGCCGGCGAUAAGUCGGAGGAAGGUGGGGACGACGUCAAAUCAUCAUGCCCCUUAUGUCCUGGGCUACACACGUACUACAAUGGCUGAAAACAGAGGGAAGCGAAAUCGCGAGGUUGAGCAAAUCCCGAAAAACAGUCUUAGUUCAGAUUGCAGGCUGAAACUCGCCUGCAUGAAGGCGGAAUUGCUAGUAAUCGCGGAUCAGAAUGCCGCGGUGAAUACGUUCCCGGGCCUUGCACUCAACGCCCGUCA